AAAGUGAAGUGCAGCGGCGAAGGUAAUCCUAUCAUGGCGUUUAUUAAUUUUAUGUUUUGCUGUUUUCUUUUCUGUUUGCCGAUUAACACAUGUGUAGCAUCAAUAAUCGAUAUUGAGGAGUUUUUACUUUCUUUGAAGUCGUGUUUGAGACGCCUAGAGCAAGCGGAACUUCGUAGAGACAUAAUACUGAUGGAAGUUUUGUUUCUUAAACUAGAGAGUCAUCUCGAAAUUAUAGCAGCAAUUCUUAUUUAUUUUUUCUACGCUGAUAUUCAACAUCCAAGUUUGAUUUCCAUAUUUGAACAAAUUCACACAGAUCUGAAAUGUGCAGUUGAAUCUUUACGCAUUAAUAUUGACUCUAUGCAAGUAAAUACUUGCGACUCUACCUACAGAACCGUGGCAGCGAGACAAGGACACGUGGGAAUACCAAGAUUUUCAAUCAGAAGUAACCAGAUCGAUUUUCUUCGGAAAAUGGGAUUUUCAUGGAAAGCAAUUGCAAAAUGCCUGGGAGUCUCCGUUUCUACUGUGUAUCGCAGAAGAAAAGAAAUGGGAAUGGAUACCUCCCAUCACAACAGAUUUUCUGACAUGAGUAAUCACAGUCUUGAUGAUGAAAUACAACACGUUUUGUCUCUUACUCCCAAUGCUGGAGAAAGCUAUGUCAGGGGCAGUCUUGUGCAGAGAGGAGUGAGAGUGCAAAGGUGGAGGGUUCGGGAGCGGCUUUCUAUUUUAGAUCCAGUUGGAAGAGCUGUAAGAAAACGAAGAGCAAUUAGACGCAGAGUUUACAAUGUGCCCGGGCCAAAUCACUUAUGGUAUGCAUAUUCUUUUUAAACCAUUUCCUGACAUUGUCUCGCCCUAAUAUGUCACAUAGAAAGCUUGCUGCUCGCAGUAGUUUAAUCAAAUAUUACCAAACAAGAUAUGUAACACAACCUAUGCUGCAUAGUUAUUUAAAUUAAUAUCUUUUUAUGUAGAUUAUUUAUUUUGGCCCACCUCUGCAAGCUUGUAUGUGAUAAAAGACCACCUAAUGGUCAAGGACAGGUUAAAAAUGCCACAAAUAUCUGCAUAGACGUACAGUAGUUUACAUGUAAGAAGUUUGUUACUGACUACCUUAUCCUUACGAAAAAUAACUUCAUAAUUGUUUUCCUUUCAGUUGUCAGUUAUAAUUCAAGUUGGCAUUUUAUUAUUUUACAAUAUAGCACAACCCAAGGAGGACAUUUGUAUUAUUGGAGCCACAAGAGAUGGAAAAUACCGAUCUCAGCAGCAUGCAUGCAUAAUUAUAAAUAUCCACGUUGAAGCUUGUAUUUGUAAUUAAAUUGAGUUUCUAUUGUUUCCACAGGCACAUUGAUGGUAACCACAAGCUAGUGUCAUGGAGAUUUAUUUUCCAUGGAUGUGUGGAUGGCUUCAGUCGACUUCUCAUCUACUUAAAAUGUUGCACAAAUAAUUUGUCCCAAACAGUUUUAACACUGUUUGAAGAUGGAGUAUCUAAAUUUGGACUACCAUACCGAGUUAGGGGGGAUCUAGGGGGAGAGAAUAUUCGAGUUGCCCGCUUUAUGAUUACUAUGAGGGGUGUAAAUAGAGGUAGCUUCAUAGCGGGAAGGAGUGUUCAUAACCAACGAAUUGAGCGGCUGUGGGCAGAGCUCAACAGAGUGGUCAUACACUACUACAGUGACUUGUUUCACUGGAUGGAAAAUCAGGGAAUAUUAGAAUCUAUAAGAGGGUACCACAUUUAUGCUCUUCAUUAUGUUUAUUUGGGCAAGAUCAAUAGAUCUGUCACAGAAUUCAUGCACCAGUGGAAUAACCACACCUUGAGUACUGAAGGACAUCGUUCUCCUUACCAGUUGUGGACUGAAGGAAUGUUGCAGAACAGUACUGUUCUUCAUGAUGUGCCUGUAUCAGAAUAUGAUAUCGAUGGUGCUCAAAAUCCAGACUAUGAUACCAAUGACCAUAUAUUGCAUGAAAAUACACUGCUGUCUGAAGAGCAAAUAAACUACCUCCAGUCAAUGGUAGAUCCGAGCACUGAUGAUUUAAAUUAUGGAAUAGAUCAUUAUAUGUUCACGUGUCAUAUUUUACAGAGCGUUUUUGGUUAUGAAGCGUGAUGUUUGAAGUCACAUAGAAGUACAAAAAAAUCUUUCUACUGCUCAUCAAAUAUUAUAUUUAAAGAGUGGCCCAACAGUCACACACUCAGGAUUCCUGAGUGUAAGACUGUUCAUCAAAUUGAACUGUAUAUGGUCACACAGAAUGCACCUCAGAUAGAUGGGAGAUUUUCAGGGUGAUUUUUAAAGCUUUUUGCUCCACAGCAAAAGCUUCUCCAGAUUUUCUGAAAGUAAUUGUAAAAGUUUAAAGGUGCAAAUCUAGCCAGAGACAAUGUAAGUAUGGAAGAGAAAUAAAAUUAUUUUUUGAAAACA